CACGUAGGCGGUGAGUUUAGCCAGCUGUGAAAUCCCCGGGCUCAACCUGGGAAUUGCAGUUGGAACUGGCUCGCUAGAGUAUGGUAGAGGGGUGUGGAAUUUCAGGUGUAGCGGUGAAAUGCGUAGAUAUCUGAAGGAACAUCAGUGGCGAAGGCGACACCCUGGAUCAAUACUGACGCUGAGGUGCGAAAGCGUGGGGAGCAAACA
rnacentral:rRNA from 1 species